CUCAACGGUCGCAACGGCCCAGCGAGCCGUGGUGGGGCCGAGCGGGAGCGCACGGCGCAGGCGUAGAGCUCGCAGCCUCUGCGGGGAAAGCCGGGCGCCUCCAUUUUCCCUCGCGCUCCCUGAUUGCGGGGCUGGGUGCGGUGGAAGCGAGUGGUGGCCUUUAAAGUCCGAGGCCUUCUCUCCACAAAUUCUUUCUUCGUUCCGCGCAGCUGAGCGCGGGAUCUGUCCAAGUAGCUCUUCGUAAAGUUUUGGAAUGUGAUAAAAAAAAAAGACACCUCCGCAAAUUACUACAGUAGUUGGCAAACUUGAUACUUCCAAUUGGAAAUGUGGGUUUGGGGAAGGAUUGAGAACACUGAUGCAGAAAAGACCCACAUGGUAGGGCCAACAUCUGCCUAGGAAACAUCUGCUCUUCUCAUCUUCCUGCAAAUUGCCCUCCUCCCCUUUGAAGCCCCAGCCCCAUCUCUUUCCUCAGCUCAGGCUGGCAUUAUUAGAGCAGCCAAAGAACCUAGAAAGAAAGAAGGAAAAAUUCUCCCCCCGGCACCCCCUGACAGUUUGGUGACCUGCAAAGGGACAUUCACUGGCUGGACACAGCUUCCUCCAGGGAGGCUGCCACUGAG